UAGGGAAUCUUCGGCAAUGGGGGGAACCCUGACCGAGCAACGCCGCGUGAGUGAAGAAGGUUUUCGGAUCGUAAAGCUCUGUUGUUAAGGAAGAACGAGUGUGAGAAUGGAAAGUUCAUACUGUGACGGUACUUAACCAGAAAGGGACGGCUAACUACGUGCCAGCAGCCGCGGUAAUACGUAGGUCCCGAGCGUUGUCCGGAUUUAUUGGGCGUAAAGCGAGCGCAGGCGGUUAGAUAAGUCUGAAGUUAAAGGCAGUGGCUCAACCAUUGUAGUCUUUGGAAUCUGUUUAACUUGAGUGCAGAAGGGGAGAGUGGAAUUCCAUGUGUAGCGGUGAAAUGCGUAGAUAUAUGGAGGAACACCGGUGGCGAAAGCGGCUCUCUGGUCUGUAACUGACGCUGAGGCUCGAAAGCGUGGGGAGCGAACAGG
rnacentral:rRNA from 1 species